rnacentral:lncRNA from 1 species
AGUGAAAGAGUGUUGUGUGCUUUUGCUGAGUUUAGGAUGGUGUCAAUUGUGCCUCAGGAGAAGAGUUUAGACAUUCUGUCCUGAUGAAUGUAAUCAAGUCUUUAUUUCAUGGUUUCUCUUAACGCAAAUACGUACAGGUUCAUAUUCGUCGAUGAGGGUGAGAGGAAAACUAUCGCCAACAGAAAGAAUCCAGAUAGGAAGAGAGAAAAAGAAAGACCAGAGAUGGAUUUUGUGUCCUUUUUAAAACAGCCUCAAUCACCUGAUUCCUCCCUGCCACUUCUCUGCAAAUGAUAGAGUUCACACAUCUAUAAUUCUCUCAUAGGUUCAUGUGGGCUGCUCCUCAUAACCCUGCUCAAACACUACUGAGGCAUCAGGAUCUUCAAGAUUCAUAUGAGGAAACUGAAGCGAAAGAAUGUUGACUAAUUUUGUCAAGGUCACACAACUGGU